rnacentral:tRNA from 1 species
GCCACGGUGGUGUAGUGCCGAAAGGCGCAUGAUGGUUAGCAUGGAGGCCUGUGGAGCCUUAGACCUGAGUUCGAAUCUCGGCCGUGGCC